rnacentral:rRNA from 1 species
UUAGGGCUACACACGUGCUACAAUGGGUGGUACAAAGAGAAGCCAACUCGCGAGAGCGCGCCAAUCUCAAAAAGCCAUCCUCAGUUCGGAUUGGAGUCUGCAACUCGACUCCAUGAAGUUGGAAUCGCUAGUAAUCGCGGAUCAGCAUGCCGCGGUCGAAUACGUUCCCGGGCCUU